rnacentral:rRNA from 1 species
AUUGAACGCUGGCGGCAGGCCUAACACAUGCAAGUCGAACGGUAACAGGAAACAGCUUGCUGUUUCGCUGACGAGUGGCGGACGGGUGAGUAAUGUCUGGGAAACUGCCUGAUGGAGGGGGAUAACUACUGGAAACGGUAGCUAAUACCGCAUAACGUCGCAAGACCAAAGAGGGGGACCUUCGGGCCUCUUGCCAUCGGAUGUGCCCAGAUGGGAUUAGCUAGUAGGUGGGGUAACGGCUCACCUAGGCGACGAUCCCUAGCUGGUCUGAGAGGAUGACCAGCCACACUGGAACUGAGACACGGUCCAGACUCCUACGGGAGGCAGCAGUGGGGAAUAUUGCACAAUGGGCGCAAGCCUGAUGCAGCCAUGCCGCGUGUAUGAAGAAGGCCUUCGGGUUGUAAAGUACUUUCAGCGGGGAGGAAGGGAGUAAAGUUAAUACCUUUGCUCACUGACGUUACCCGCAGAAGAAGCACCGGCUAACUCCGU